ensembl:Y_RNA Y_RNA Y RNA
GGCUGGUCUGUGCACAGCGGGGUUUACGGCUAGCUGAUCACAACCAGUUACAGAUUUUUUUAUUCCUUCUCCAAUCUCACUGCUUCACUUGACUACCUUUUA